rnacentral:lncRNA from 1 species
AUGCUAUUUAAAGCAGGUAGUCAAGUGCCUUGGGAUUGUGUGUGUGUGUGUGUGUGUGUGUGUGUGUGUGUGUGUGUGUGUGUGUGUGUGUGUGUGUGUGUGUGUGUGUGUGUGUGUGUGUGUGUGUGUGUGUAGAACCUGUGUGUGUGUGUGAGUGUGUAAGUGUGAGUGUGUGUGAGUGAGUGCACAAAAGGUGAACAUGCAAGACAAAUGAUUUAACUGACUUUGAACGAGGAACGAUGGUGGAUUCUGGCUGCACUGCCAUGAAUUAUGACAAGAAUGGCAAUGCGCUGGGAGUGUGCUAAUGCGUGGCAAUGUCACCGGGAUGUCAAGACAAACUGCCAGCUGGCGGUCCUUUCGGGGUCACAGACAGCCCUGUAUUCCUAGCCUUCCCUCUGACGCUCGCCUUCGGUAUGUCCUUGUCCCUGCAUGUUCAGUGAGGAACCGUAAUUCGCCGCUGACCUCGUCGUUCCUGUGAUAACUGUCUGAUAACUGCCUGAUCACAAAGGUGCUGCUGUUUUGUUUAAACCUGACAAUGCGUGUAUGAUUCAGCAUGCUCGUGACUCUGCUAAACUGUUGUUGUGCAUGUUGGUCUGACCUAUAUCUGAGCUGGGUUUUCGUUUUCUUUGUCGUGUUCUUUUUGUCUGGGCAUUGUACCAUCUUGUCAACUCCAAUGGAGUAAUGCUUCUGUCUAGUGUGUUUUCUGUCUGCAUGUGACUGGGGAUAAGGCUGGUGGCGCUGUAGCUGUCCUGGUGCAUGCUUGUUGUUUGUUCUGGUCUGUAGUUAGUCCCUAUGCAUGAUUGCUAUUACUGUCUGAGUGAUUCGUGCUUAGGAUGGACUGUUGAUAUCCCCUGGUGCAAUAAUUGUUUUCAUUUUAUUUGUUAAGCAGUUGCUAGGUGCUUCCAGAGGGAGGCUAGGCACCUGGUGGUGGGCCCCUGUCACUGUGUAUCAAGCUGGUUAGUGUGCUGUGGGUGUGCCGUGAUUGUGCUGUGUGUGCAGUGUGCUGUGGGUUGCUUGCCGUGUCAUAGUUCACCUUAUAACCACUUCUUUGAGUGUGUGCACGUGUGAGCGGUGUGGAUCCAAGAGCACGCCGUCUGCUAGUCUGCCUCCCUCAGGUAAGUCCUACUUAGCACUGCCUAGACUCUAGUCUACUAGUUUCCCUGUUUUAGCCUUACUGACAAAUGAUAUUCAAUAAAUAUAUUUUUGUAUCUUGCUAACUUGUCA